rnacentral:pre_miRNA from 1 species
UGUUAAAAAUUUCUAUCCAUUCUAUUGUUAAAAACUUGCGUAGUUGAUAGAAUCACUUGAUGCCAUGUAUACCUUAUUUUGACAUACAAAAAUCAGUUUUUAACCAUAAAAAUGAAAGAAUUUUUUAACA